CUAUAGUAGCCGGAAUGCAGGCAAAGUAUGCAUCCAAGAAAGGAACGGCCCCUAACAUAGUUGCAAGGGCCGAUGAUUAUGAAUAAUUACCUGUGACAACUAAUAGGACUAAACAUUGUUGUCAGUUCGAUGGGUUUAUAAGUUUUAUCGCUGGAACUGAGCAAAUAAAAUAAAGUUGUAAAGA